AGAGGAGAGUGGAAUUCCAUGUGUAGCGGUGAAAUGCGUAGAUAUAUGGAGGAACACCGGUGGCGAAAGCGGCUCUCUGGCCUGUAACUGACACUGAGGCUCGAAAGCGUGGGGAGCAAACAGGAUUAGAUACCCUGGUAGUCCACGCCGUAAACGAUGAGUGCUAGAUGUAGGGAGCUAUAAGUUCUCUGUAUCGCAGCUAACGCAAUAAGCACUCCGCCUGGGGAGUACGACCGCAAGGUUGAAACUCAAAGGAAUUGACGGGGGCCCGCACAAG
rnacentral:rRNA from 1 species